ACAGGUGCCAACGCCAAAUAAAGUUUGAUUUUUUGAGCCAGCUCUGGCAUUGUUGAAAAGGCAAUGAAAGCUGAGAAAACAAAAAAGGCUUGUCAGCACAGAAACAGCAUGAAUUGUGAAGUGAAUCAUUCUGCUAUUUCUCUGGCACUGGAUACAGAAGAGACUACUCAAAAUUUUCUGGGGUAUUUUCUCCAUGGGUUAUUUUCUCCCUUUACAUCAAAGGAAGGAUUAUAACUUCAAGAAGUGUCAGGCUGAAUUGCAAGCGUCUAUACAAAAGGGACAAGAGACUCAAGAAGAGGAAGAGAAGAUGAAGAGGAGAGAAGAGAAAAGAGAAGUAGUAUAUGCAAUGAUUAGAGAUGAUGGGUUAAAUAAAGGCAGCUUAUCCACUCUGUUAUUCCUAACACCUAGAAACCCCUCUGCUCUGAGACAUGUAUGUAUCUAUUGAGCAACUUACAAUAUUCAUAAAUGCUUCAGGAUCCACA